rnacentral:ncRNA from 1 species
AGCAUACGAGGUCAGAAAUGGUUCCUGACGCACUCUCCGGAGUACCUGAGAUGCCGGAUACACCGCCCGGCCGUAUGCC